rnacentral:lncRNA from 1 species
AGUCUUAUCCUGUUUGCCUUUGGAAGAAGAUGUAGAAUUCUCAGCUCCUCUUAUACCAUACCUGCCUGGAUGCUGCCAUGCUCUGCCUUGAUGACAAUGGACUGAACCUCUGAACCUGCAAAUUUCCAACUGGCUUACAGAGAAGCAUGCACCCUUGGAAGGCAAUCUCAGAGAGUGGAGGGCCUGCCUGAUGUAGAAGGAAGGACUUCAGUGGAAUGGUAUUAUCCAAAGGGCGUCUUAAAAUGAAAAAAAAAAAAAAAGUCCUGACCUUUAUUCUACAUUCUGCACUUACUUUCCUGGAAAGAAACCCUUGGGGGUGUUGACAGAGCUGCCAUGCAGUGACUAUACAAGGUAGUAAUGUGCAUAUGGACAGAGGGCCAAAGAAGGAAGAUGGGAGCCCAGCAUUCAGAUUUAAUAUAAGGACUCAAAACCCAUUAACAGAAUGUAACAUAGAAGGUACAGAUGUUUUAAGAUUUUUUUGGAAUGCAAUUUGGUUAUUUAUUCAUCAUUGUAUAUACAUUAUAUUUCAUUUGUGUUACUCAAUAGUCUUAUUAAUACAUUAUAUAAUACUUAAUCAGAUUUUGCUAACCACCUCCAAGAACAGAACAUUGAAUUAAGGAAUAAAGCAUUAUAAUAAUGUU